UACAGCACAUCUUGACAUGGCUUACACCACCCAAGCGGGUCAGGUCCUCAUAUAUCUCUGUGAAGUUAAGCAGCCUCAAGCUCGGGUAGUACUCGGGUGGGUGACCACCGGGGAAGUCCGGGUGCUGUCU
rnacentral:rRNA from 1 species